UAUAGGAGGUCCAGCCUGCCCAGUGACCACAAGUUCAACGGCCGCGGUAUUUUGACCGUGCAAAGGUAGCGCAAUCACUUGUCUUUUAAAUAGAGACCUGUAUGAAUGGCCAAACGAGGGCUUAACUGUCUCCCCUUUCAAGUCAGUGAAAUUGAUCUACCCGUGCAGAAGCGGGUAUAAUAAUACAAGACGAGAAGACCCUUUGGAGCUUAAGGUACAAAACUCAACCACACCAAGCAACUUAAUAAAAAGCAAAAACUUUGUGAAACAUGAGAUUCUACCUUCGGUUGGGGCGACCACGGAGGAAAAAGAAGCCUCCAAGUGGACCGGGAUAAACUCCUAAAACCAAGAGAGACAUCUCUAAGCCACAGAACAUCUGACCAAACAUGAUCCGGCCACCAGGACCGAUCAACGAACCAAGUUACCCUAGGGAUAACAGCGCAAUCCCCUCCCAGAGUCCAUAUCGACGAGGGGGUUUACGACCUCGAUGUUGGAUCAGGACAUCCUAAUGGUGCAGCCGCUAUUAAGGGUUCGUUUGUUCAACGAUUAAAGUCCUACGUGA
rnacentral:rRNA from 1 species